rnacentral:rRNA from 1 species
GCCCAGCCGUAAACAAUUAACUUACACCAAUAAGCGCCAGGGAACUACGAGCCACGCUUAAAACCCAAAGGAUUUGACGGUGUCCCACCCCCCUAGAGGAGCCUGUUCUAUAAUCGAUGAUCCCCGCUAUACCCCACCACCCCUUGCUCGUCAGUCUGUAUACCUCCGUCGAAAACUUACCAUGUGAAUGCACAGUAAGUUCAAUGACCAUAUCAAUUGCGCCAACACGUCAGGUCAAGGUGCAGCUUAAGGAGUGGAAAGUUAUUGGCUACAAUUUCUAAUCUAGAACAAACGAAAGGUCAUGUGAAAUCAUGGCCACGAAGGCGGAUUUAGUAGUAAAAAGAAAAUAGAGUGUUCUUUUUAACCCGGCUCUGGGACGCGUACACACCGCCCGUCACCCUCUUCAAUAGUAUCACCUUAGUUCCAACCUAUUUUUACAUCUCAGAAGAGGCAAGUCGUAACAUGGUAAGUGUACUGGAAAUGUCACUUGGUAAAACAAAAUGUAGCUUAA